rnacentral:lncRNA from 1 species
GGAAAAUGGAAGUGGAAGAAGAGGAGGAGCCAAGCCACAAUAUUUAGGUCCGCAGAAAACGACACGCUGAUUUAUUUGAAGUCAAGGAUGGAGAUUAAAACGGCCUUUAAAAACACCACACCCGUUUUGUCCACCGCCAUCACCACCUUCUCCCAGAUCAAGGAAGUGUAUUACGGACUCACACAAAAGGAAGAGGUCCGCAGAAAACGACACGCCGAUUUAUUUGAAGUCACCACACCCAUUUUGUCCACCGCCAU